CACCCCCCUGGCCUGCACGAGUGGCUUGCAAAGAUGGCACAGGGAAUCCAUCCUGAACCGGUUAGUGAGCUGGUGGUGCAAAAACCCAAAACAGUUGGCAGGGACGGUCAGAGGUCCACACUGUAAAAGGCAUACAGGACCACAGCCAGAUCCAUAUGAUGGCAUCUGGAAGCAGAUUAUGCCAGGUGCAGCCCCACCCUCUCAUGGUUGUGUUGGAUGGGUUUCUGAGAUGGAAUGAAAGAGAACUUGGAUAUAUAUUGUGGCAAAUGCAUGAAUGCAUACCUUAAAUUACACUUAUCUUGUCUUUAACAAUCAGUUC